CCGUUUUCUGCAAAGAUCUGUGCUUCCAUCGUCAAAGUUUGUUUUUGUGAACUAUUCCCGCUUAUAAAUGAUGACAUACACAAUCCCAGGAGCGUUGACGGGCUGCAGCGUGGAGGUUCAUUGAGUCUCUGAUUGACAGAGUGGGAGAGAAGAUGUCGUCUGUCGUCCAGCAGCAGAGAACAAACAGACAUUCAUGACUCUGCAGUUGCACUUGACUGCGUCAUUAGAGACGCUCACACGUCCCGUUGAACUCGUUGAGCUUGAAUUUGUGUUAUUUGUGGAGAAUUGAAUUUGUUUUAUUUGUGAAGAAUUAAAUUUGUUUUAUUUGUGGAGAA